rnacentral:lncRNA from 1 species
AUGGGCAGGACACAUUGAGUAGACCCCUUCCUGUGGUCUCUGUGUAGGCCAGAGCCACUUCUCUGCCUUUCUAUGCAGCCAUUUUGCCCCUUGCCUGAAUCACUGUAGCAUCCUCUUAACUGGCCUGCCUGCUUCAGCUCUGGCCAUCCUCCACCCCGACCUGUGCCCAGCAGCCAGAAGUAGCAAGAUCGUUAAAAACGAACAUCAGAGUGCAUUUCUCCCACAAAGCCUCCAGUGGCUACUUCUUGCAUUUAGAAUGCAUCACAAACUCCUUCCAGGAGUGCCCAUCCAGGCAGGAUGUGAUCUGGGUGUGACAGCCUCCCCUGCCACUUUCCUGCCCCAGCCACACUGGCCACAUGUUGCUCAAACAACCACACGUGUUCCAGCCUCAGGGCCUUUGCACUUACCGCCGCCUCCAUCUAGAAUGAAUGUGAGACAAGAGGACUUGCUGGUGGGGUCCCCUGCUGUGUCCCCAGAGUCCCAGCAUGUGCCUGACACACAGCAGGUGCCUGAUUGAUAGUGACGGUUCCCCAAAGGCUGCUGGAGUCACCUCUGGGAUUCUGCACAGGCUCCACCCUCUGGGGAGGUGUGCUUGGUAGAGGACACGAAGGCUGCUUGUUGGGGUUACCUUAGUACCUGGGUGAAGAGUAAAAAGUAAUUAAUAAUAACGAAAGAAAA